GGUCACGAAAUUAUAAAACCAAAACAAGUUGACGACGAUAAAACUAUAUACUCGGGUAGGUUCCUACCUAGUGAAUAAAUCGAUUUAAAAACGACCGCUUUCCCGUUUCUUAUUUUUAAAACACACCUUGUAUAGAACCAUGGAUUUUGCAUCCCUCGGCUGAGAUAAUCAUUCAAAGCCGAAGUCAAUUAGGGUUACGAAUUUACAAUUGGCUAAUAUUAGGUAAUCACUCGCAAACAAGUGAUAACUUACCGUAGGCACGAUUGUCAAAUUACGCAUACAGAAC